UGUCGGCAACACAUCGAAUAUCGAAGGAUGUCGGGGACACACUAAUAAAUUAACAAUGUAAGUGUCCUUUGAUUAUAUCAACCAUAAUAAAGAUAUAUACGAUAAAAAAAAACAGGAUUAGUGUUCCUUGCUUGCUUCCAUUUCAUGCACUCAAUUUCAGGAUUCAAUUUUUGUAAAUAAUCGAGAGAGAAAAAGUUUUAGAAGGUGAAAGUCAGAUUUCGUUUCAGUUAAGCCAGGGGUCCCACAGGGGUCAAUUAUUGGUCCAAGUCUUUUUAUUUAUAAAUUAACUGUUUACAAAAUUUUGAAUUUUUUGAAAUACUAAGGCUUUUCUACCUCAAGCAUAGAUUACCUUAGCUGUAUUUGGAAACACUUUUAGGAAUUUUGGAUCUCAAUGCUCUUCAACUUCGUACUUUAUUUGGCUUUUUUAAAACUUUUUUGGAUUCGAG
rnacentral:lncRNA from 1 species